ACUCUGAAGAAGACCCAGGGAGAGAACCUAUUCUGAAAAGAUUUGUUUUUAGAUCAAAAAGAAUUGUACUCAAGGAAUUGAAGCUAUGGAGCCUCUGCCACAUCUGGACCUGAUUUUGAUGACAAGAUCCUGUACCUCAAGCCCGAGACUAAUUUCAUAAUUUGAUGAAUCUUUUUGGAGAGUCAUGGGAGGAAUGUAAACAAUUUGUGGCCAAAGGAGAAUUAUGGUAGUUUGAAGAUGUGGAUACAAAUUAUUUGACAUUCUUCUCAUAGAAAGGUGAUGCUUAUGUCUCCACCCCUUGUAAACAAGCUGGCUUGUGACUUUGACCUAUAGUGUAUGGUGGGAGUGAUGCUGUGGAACUGGAAUUACUAGCAUCAGGAAACCUACUUGCUACAGACCCAACAACGUGCAAUGAUCAGAUCCCAAUUUAGACUGUAAAAAGACCAAUAUCAGAGACUAAGAACUGAGAUCAAACAUACCUUCUUCCUGUACCAAACAGUUCUGGGGCCAAAUAUUGUCUACUGUCUCUAUGCUAACUAGUACUGAAACCAGGCAAAAUUAACUACUUAGCCGCUUGUUCCAGGAAAUACCUGCUCUCGGAAGAAAUAAGUUAACCCACCUGUAUUAGUCUGUUUUCUGCUGCCAUAACAGAACAUUACAGACUAGAUAAUUACUUUGAAAAGUUUAUUUGACCCACAGUUCUGGAAGCUAGGAAAUCCAAGAGGAUGGCACUGGUGUCUGGUGAGGGUCAUGUUAUAGUGGAGGAGUGGAGGAUGGAAGCAAACACAUGAGACAGAGAGAGAAAUCAGGCCAGACUUACUUCUCUAACAAACCCCAUCUCAAUAACUAACUCAUUCCUAUGAUAAUAGCAUUAAUUAUCUCAUGAAAGCCCUCAUAACCUAAUUACCUCUUAAAGACCCCACAUCAAUAAAAUAUCAACA
ensembl:lncRNA LINC02607 long intergenic non-protein coding RNA 2607